AACCUUUGCUGUCUUGGAACAGAUCACCACUGCAAGAGGGGAAGUUGCUACUGUGAUGAAUUCUGCCAUGUGGUACCAGACUGCUACCCAGACCACAGUGUCCUCUGCAACCCUCGUAACUCACAUACAGGCCUGAUUCCACCUACAGCAAAGCUGGAUGCUAUGGUUGGCAGAGGCAAACCCUUUGCCUGCACUUCAGGCCAAAGCCGGGAUGUGGCCUAGAUGGUUCCUAAGCUUCUCAGAUGACCAAGAUGGUGCUGCAGAUGGUGCUGAGGAUGGAGAACCCACCAAGCCCCGCUAGGAGCCACCUAGACUGGAUGUAGAGCAUGGUGAGCUCCCUGCAGGUUCUCUGAGAAGGGGUGGAUGGCAGCCUGCUCCUUGCCUUUGUGGCCUCCAGACCCCAAAGUCAGGGAACCAAAAGAAGAAAGGGGCCAUAGCUAGGGCAGAGCUCCACUGCAAUGAUUGUUUUAGGGGUAGGAGCCAGGAUUGCUGUCUGUGGACACUGAAAUUUGAAUCUCAUAUACUUUUCAUGUGUGACAAAACAUUAUUCUUCUUUUGUUCUUCUCCUACCAUCUAAAAAUGUAGAAAACAUUCUUAACCUAUGAGUUGCACAAAAACAGGCAGUGGCCAGAUUUGGCCCAUAGACCAUAGUUUGCUGACUUCUGCCCUAAAUCAUCCUCCAUUUCUUUCCUUCUGUGUCCUUGUUACUGACAAAGCCACUUUCCCUAAAAUGGGGUCUUUCCCUGUUUGGUGCCAUGAAGCCAAUAUGCAAAACCGAAAGUGAGCCUCAAGCAGUACAGGCUUUAUUUGGUGGCCAUGGAAUUGAGAAGUGAGAGCUUGGCUCACAAAUCAACUUUUCUGCUCGUGAGACCCAGGAAG
rnacentral:lncRNA from 1 species